rnacentral:rRNA from 1 species
GAUGAACGCUGGCGGCGUGCCUAAUACAUGCCAGUCGAGCGAACAGACGAGGAGCUUGCUCCUCUGACGUUAGCGGCGGACGGGUGAGUAACACGUGGAUAACCUACCUACAAGACUGGGAUAACUUCGGGAAACCGGAGCUAAUACCGGAUAAUAUAUUGAACCGCAUGGUUCAAUAGUGAAAGACGGUUUUGCCGUCACUUAUAGAUGGAUCCGCGCCGCAUUAGCUAGUUGGUAAGGUAACGGCUUACCAAGGCGACGAUGCGUAGCCGACCUGAGAGGGUGAUCGGCCACACUGGAACUGAGACACGGUCCAGACUCCUACGGGAGGCAGCAGUAGGGAAUCUGCCGCAAUGGGCGAAAGCCUGACGGAGCAACGCCGCGUGAGUGAUGAAGGUCUUCGGAUCGUAAAACUCUGUUAUUAGGGAAGAACAAAUGUGUAAGUAACUAUGCACGUCUUGACGGUACCUAAUCAGAAAGCCACGGCUAACUACGUG